rnacentral:lncRNA from 1 species
UCUAGCCCUGACUCUGGCCCUCAGACAGGAACAGAUCUGGAGAGAGCUCUGUGACUAAGUUGUUUUCAUAAGAUGUCUGCUGUUUCAGGGUUGACAGAACACUGUGAACCUCCGGUAAAACUCAACUUCUCCUGGUACCUAAGGAGCUCCCGCUGCUUCGAUGAGGUAUUCGAUCUCGACCCUCUGAAGGCAGGGAGCUACUUCAGAAAGACAACUGUGAAGCAGGGAGGAGGCAGUGGGUUCUAUGUGUUUUUUCAGUACCCUGCCAUUGAGUGCAAACAGCACAUGACCCACAGUGAGUUCUUUCUCAACAGAUUUGAGGAGCCGACUAGGCUUACUGAGCAAGUUCAAGAACAGCCUGUCACUGUCAAGGACAAAGGGAUGAGGAAAAGGAGCGCUGAGGAUCCAAAGGAGGUGGUUGCUGUCAAAGCAGAGGCAGCCCUGUGGAAGUCAGUGUGAACGGGAACCCAUGACUACAUCUCAGUUUCAGAAUGGCCUCUUAUGAUCGAUC